rnacentral:ncRNA from 2 species
CUGAGAGCAGGUGAUGGAUCCCGCCCGGGAAAUUCCCGAACCGCCACCUCGGCUGAUGGGUCCUGCUGGCGU